rnacentral:tRNA from 2 species
GGCGACGUACCCAAGUGGUUAAGGGGAGGGACUGCAAAUCCUUUAUGCAUCGGUUCGAAUCCGAUCGUCGCCUCCA